rnacentral:rRNA from 1 species
GAUGAACGCUAGCUACAGGCUUAACACAUGCAAGUCGAGGGGCAUCAGGAAGAAAGCUUGCUUUCUUUGCUGGCGACCGGCGCACGGGUGAGUAACACGUAUCCAACCUGCCCUUUACUCGGGGAUAGCCUUUCGAAAGAAAGAUUAAUACCCGAUGGCAUAAUGAUUCCGCAUGGUUUCAUUAUUAAAGGAUUCCGGUAAAGGAUGGGGAUGCGUUCCAUUAGGUUGUUGGUGAGGUAACGGCUCACCAAGCCUUCGAUGGAUAGGGGUUCUGAGAGGAAGGUCCCCCACAUUGGAACUGAGACACGGUCCAAACUCCUACGGGAGGCAGCAGUGAGGAAUAUUGGUCAAUGGGCGCUAGCCUGAACCAGCCAAGUAGCGUGAAGGAUGAAGGCUCUAUGGGUCGUAAACUUCUUUUAUAUAAGAAUAAAGUGCAGUAUGUAUACUGUUUUGUAUGUAUUAUAUGAAUAAGGAUCGGCUAACUCCGUGCCAGCAGCCGCGGUAAUACGGAGGAUCCGAGCGUUAUCCGGAUUUAUUGGGUUUAAAGGGAGCGUAGGUGGACUGGUAAGUCAGUUGUGAAAGUUUGCGGCUCAACCGUAAAAUUGCAGUUGAUACUGUCAGUCUUGAGUACAGUAGAGGUGGGCGGAAUUCGUGGUGUAGCGGUGAAGUGCUUAGAUAUCACGAAGAACUCCGAUUGCGAAGGCAGCUCACUGGACUGCAACUGACACCGAUGCUCGAAAGUGUGGGUAUCAAACAGGAUUAGAUACCCUGGUAGUCCACACAGUAGACGAUGAAUACUCGCUGUUUGCGAUAUACAGUAAGCGGCCAAGCGAAAGCAUUAAGUAUUCCACCUGGGGAGUACGCCGGCAACGGUGAAACUCAAAGGAAUUGACGGGGGCCCGCACAAGCGGAGGAACAUGUGGUUUAAUUCGAUGAUACGCGAGGAACCUUACCCGGGCUUAAAUUGCAGUGGAAUGAUGUGGAAACAUGUCAGUGAGCAAUCACCGCUGUGAAGGUGCUGCAUGGUUGUCGUCAGCUCGUGCCGUGAGGUGUCGGCUUAAGUGCCAUAACGAGCGCAACCCUUAUCUUUAGUUACUAACAGGUUAUGCUGAGGACUCUAGAGAGACUGCCGUCGUAAGAUGUGAGGAAGGUGGGGAUGACGUCAAAUCAGCACGGCCCUUACGUCCGGGGCUACACACGUGUUACAAUGGGGGGUACAGAAGGCAGCUAGCGGGUGACCGUAUGCUAAUCCCAAAAGCCUCUCUCAGUUCGGAUCGAAGUCUGCAACCCGACUUCGUGAAGCUGGAUUCGCUAGUAAUCGCGCAUCAGCCACGGCGCGGUGAAUACGUUCCCGGGCCUUGUACACACCGCCCGUCAAGCCAUGGGAGCCGGGGGUACCUGAAGUACGUAACCGCAAGGAUCGUCCUAGGGUAAAACUGGAGA